rnacentral:rRNA from 1 species
UCGGGAAUUUUGGGCAAUGGGCGAAAGCCUGACCCAGCAACGCCGCGUGAAGGAUGAAGUAUUUCGGUAUGUAAACUUCGAAAGAAUAGGAAGAAUAAAUGACGGUACUAUUUAUAAGGUCCGGCUAACUACGUGCCAGCAGCCGCGGUAAUACGUAGGGACCAAGCGUUGUUCGGAUUUACUGGGCGUAAAGGGCGCGUAGGCGGCAAUUCAAGUCAUCUGUGAAAUCUCCGGGCUUAACUCGGAACGGUCAGAUGAUACUGCUUUGCUAGAGUGCAGAAGGGGCAAUCGGAAUUCUUGAUGUAGCGGUGAAAUGCGUAGAUAUCAAGAGGAACACCUGAGGUGAAGACGGGUUGCUGGGCUGGACACUGACGCUGAGGCGCGAAAGCCAGGGGAGCAAACGGGAUUAGAUACC